rnacentral:rRNA from 1 species
UACGGGGGGAGCAAGCGUUGUUCGGAUUUACUGGGCGUAAAGGGCGCGUAGGCGGUCAGCACAAGUCAGUUGUGAAAUCUCCGGGCUUAACUCGGAAAGGUCAACUGAUACUGUGCGACUAGAGUGCAGAAGGGGCGACUGGAAUUCUCGGUGUAGCGGUGAAAUGCGUAGAUAUCGAGAGGAACACCUGCGGCGAAGGCGGGUUGCUGGGCUGACACUGACGCUGAUGCGCGAAAGCCAGGGGAGCGAACGGG